ensembl:lncRNA
AUGUCACCUCCCGGUCACCGUACUUCCUCCAUAAAGUCCACAAUUUUUUCUGGUGUCCAUUUGGGAAUAUGUUUGAUGGAUCGUGUACAUAGGUUCGUGGGACCUGCGCGCCGACCCCCCAAAAUUUUUGCCGGACGCGCCGCCACCGUAUGCCGGACCGUGCCGGCCCACGGGAGGACCCUGACUUGCACGGGACGACCUGGCCCCCCCAGGGGCCCCACGGAAGCCCACCCAAAUUUGAGGCCCCUAAAUGCAAUUCUGGCCUUCGCCACAGGGUGGCGCACGGACCCGUCCACCUUAGGUUUACAGUCUCUGGGUCCCAGGAGGGCACGGAGAGUUGCGGACGGCCAAACACCGGACCUCACUCAUCCUCCUCCUUCGCCAGAUGGCAGCAGCGGGCGGUUCGAGAGCGUCAACAAAGGCCCUACUCACGCACCCUCUGCCAACCCGUGGAACCAGGUGAGCCCUGCACCCCACACUCGCACCACACUCAGGCCUGCUCACAAGCCGCCCGAGAUGGGUCCCUGUGUUCCACCUCGCUGCCCCACUGCGGGUACGGCUGUGGUUCCGCUGGUCCCGCUUGUACGGUUUCUAAGCGCCUGGUCAGCGCUACCCAGCCCGUCUCGCUGGCUCCUGCGGACCAUCAGCCUCGGCUAUGCGAUUCAGUUCGCCCGGUGUCCCCCCAAGUUCAUCGGUAUCCGCUUCACUACAGUAAAAGCGUCCGAUGCCCCUGUUCUACGGGAAGAGAUCGCAGUCUUACUGGCGAAAGACGCGAUAGAGCCGGUCCCUCCAGCCGAUAUGAAGACGGGGUUUUACAGCCCCUACUUCAUUGUACCCAAGAAAGGCGGUGGGUUACGACCGAUCUUGGAUCUGCGAGUUUUGAACCGGGCCCUUCAUCGGCUACCGUUCAAGAUGUUGACGCAGAAACGCAUCUUCGGGUGCGUCCGUCCCCGAGAUUGGUUUGCAGCGAUCGACCUGAAGGACGCGUACUUUCAUGUGUCGAUCCUUCCGCGCUACAGACCUUUUCUGCGGUUUGCGUUCGAUAGACGGGCAUAUUAG